ensembl:lncRNA
GCCGGCCAGGAGACGGGAUCCCCUCCUCUCGGUUUGAAGAGCGCCGCCAUGACGGAUGACCGCGGUCCGGAGUGCGGACACGGCAUUACUGAUGACCUUGGUCCCGGAGCGAACCCUGAUCAUCAGUUAUGACAGGGCUGAGAGAGGUCUGAGGACUGAGAGAGGUCUGAGGACUGAGAGAGGUCAGAGGACCGAGAGAGGUCAGAGGACCGAGAGAGGUCAGAGGACCGAGAGAGGUCAGAGGACCGAGAGAGGUCAGAGGACGUGGCUGAGAGAGGUCUGAGGACGUGGCUGAGAGAGGUCUGAGAACGUGGCUGAGAGAGGUCUGAGGACUGAGAGAGGUCAGAGGACUGAGAGAGCUCUGAGGACUAAGAGAGCUCUGAGGACUGAGAGAGCUCUGAGGACGGGGCUGAGAGAGGUCGAAGGAGGACUGAGAGGUCAGAGGACCUGACUGUGAGGUCUUGGGGGCGUGGAUGUGUGUGGAGCUGUACAGGAGCCAGAGAGAGGUGUGCUGUAGCUGGGUGUAUGUCCUCAUCCAGGGACUUCAGUGGGAGGGAGGUCUUGGAGGCAGACCGAGGCUCUCGCUGCGGUCGCAGGCGUGCGUCUGGAAGGAAGAGUCGCCUCCGGCUCUGUG